ACGGACUAAUUGGGGCUUGCUCCAAUUAGUUAGUGGCAGACGGGUGAGUAACACGUGGGAAUCUACCCAUCAGUACGGAAUAACUUUUAGAAAUAAAAGCUAAUACCGCAUAUUCUCUACGGAGGAAAGAUUUAUCGCUGAUGGAUGAGCCCGCGUCAGAUUAGGUAGUUGGUGAGGUAAUGGCUUACCAAGCCGACGAUCUGUAGCUGGUCUGAGAGGAUGAUCAGCCACACUGGGACUGAGACACGGCCCAGACUCCUACGGGAGGCAGCAGUGGGGAAUAUUGGACAAUGGGCGAAAGCCUGAUCCAGCAAUACCGAGUGAGUGAUGAAGGCCUUAGGGUUGUAAAGCUCUUUUAGCAAGGAAGAUAAUGACGUUACUUGCAGAAAAAG
rnacentral:rRNA from 1 species